GAUGAACGCUGGCGGCGUGCCUAAUACAUGCAAGUCGAGCGAACAGACGAGGAGCUUGCUCCUCUGACGUUAGCGGCGGACGGGUGAGUAACACGUGGAUAACCUACCUAUAAGACUGGGAUAACUUCGGGAAACCGGAGCUAAUACCGGAUAAUAUAUUGAACCGCAUGGUUCAAUAGUGAAAGACGGUUUUGCUGUCACUUAUAGAUGGAUCCGCGCCGCAUUAGCUAGUUGGUAAGGUAACGGCGUACCAAGGCGACGAUGCGUAGCCGACCUGAGAGGGUGAUCGGCCACACUGGAACUGAGACACGGUCCAGACUCCUACGGGAGGCAGCAGUAGGGAAUCUUCCGCAAUGGGCGAAAGCCUGACGGAGCAACGCCGCGUGAGUGAUGAAGGUCUUCGGAUCGUAAAACUCUGUUAUUAGGGAAGAACAAAUGUGUAAGUAACUAUGCACGUCUUGACGGUACCUAAUCAGAAAGCCACGGCUAACUACGUG
rnacentral:rRNA from 1 species